UACAGAGGUCUCAAGCGUUGUUCGGAUUCAUUGGGCGUAAAGGGUGCGUAGGCGGCGGAGUAAGUUGGGUGUGAAAUCCCGGGGCUUAACCUCGGAAUUGCAUUCAAUACUGCUUCGCUCGAGUACUGGAGAGAGGCUGGAAUUUACGGUGUAGCAGUGAAAUGCGUAGAUAUCGUAAGGAAGGCCGGUGGCGAAAGCGAGCCUCUGGACAGUUACUGACGCUGAUGCACGAAGGCCAGGGGAGCAAACGGG
rnacentral:rRNA from 1 species